CAUAUACUUCCUCCGUUCCAAAUUACUCGUCACAGAAAUGGAUGUAUCUAGAACUAAAAUACAUCUAGAUACAUCCAUACCUGCGACAAGUAAUUCGAAACAGAGGGAGUAGAAA
rnacentral:pre_miRNA from 1 species